rnacentral:tRNA from 1 species
GCCUGGCUGGCUCAGUCAGUAGAGCACAGGACUCUUGAUCCCAGGGUCAUGAGUUCAAGUCCCACGCUGGGCA